rnacentral:rRNA from 1 species
UCAGUGAAAUUGAACUCGCUGUGAAGAUGCAGUGUACCCGCGGCAAGACGGAAAGACCCCGUGAACCUUUACUAUAGCUUGACACUGAACAUUGAGCCUUGAUGUGUAGGAUAGGUGGGAGGCUUUGAAGUGUGGACGCCAGUCUGCAUGGAGCCAACCUUGAAAUACCACCCUUUAACGUUUGAUGUUCUAACCUAGGCCCAUAAACUGGGUCGGGGACCGUGUCUGGUGGGUAGUUUGACUGGGGCGGUCUCCUCCUAAAGAGUAACGGAGGAGCACGAAGGUUGGCUAAGCAUGGUCGGACAUCAUGCGGUUAGUGCAAAGGCAUAAGCCAGCUUGACUGCGAGAGUGACGGCUCGAGCAGGUACGAAAGUAGGUCUUAGUGAUCCGGUGGUUCUGAAUGGAAGGGCCAUCGCUCAACGGAUAAAAGGUACUCCGGGGAUAACAGGCUGAUACCGCCCAAGAGUUCAUAUCGACGGCGGUGUUUGGCACCUCGAUGUCGGCUCAUCACAUCCUGGGGCUGAAGUAGGUCCCAAGGGUAUGGCUGUUCGCCAUUUAAAGUGGUACGCGAGCUGGGUUUAGAACGUCGUGAGACAGUUCGGUCCCUAUCUGCCGUGGGCGUUGGAAGAUUGAGAGGGGUUGCUCCUAGUACGAGAGGACCGGAGUGAACGCACCACUGGUGUUCGGGUUGUCAUGCCAAUGGCAUUGCCCGGUAGCUAAGUGCGGAAGAGAUAACCGCUGAAAGCAUCUAAGCGGGAAACUUGCC